AGAAACAAAGAAAAACCCGCGAACCUCGGAUUUGGUUUUUUUCAAAAAAAAAAAAAAAAAUUGUUUUCCUCUCCUCUACGAAUAUUCGCAUUUCGCUCGUCUGGUUCGCACGCGUUCAUCUAAAAUCUUCUCGCGUUCAUAACAUCACGAGUACAAGUAGCGCAGACUAUUCCUCGAUCGCCGACCAAAGACCUACAGAUUCCCUCGU